CCUGUGGAGAGUGAAGGAAAGAGAGAGUGAGUAACACAAGGAGAAACAGAGGAAACCUGUACUUACAGUACGCUGUGUUCAGCCCAGAGGUGAGAGUCAUUCAAAGCAAACUAACUGUGCUAUUGUGCCCAAGUUGAUACCUGUGGAGAGAAAAGGAGAGAGAGUGAAUAACACGAGGAGGAAUAGAGCGAACCCUGUACUUACAGUACGUUGUGUCCAGCCCAGAGGUGAAAGCCAUCCAAAGCAGAGUAACUGUGUUUUGUGUCCAAGUUGAUACCUGUAGAGAGGAGGAGAGAGAGUGGAUAACGCGAGGAGAAAUAGAGCGAAACCUGUACUUACAGUACGCUGUGUCCAGCCCAGAGGUGAGAGCCAUUCAAAGCAAACUAACUGUGCUAUUGUGCCCAAGUUGAUACCUGUGGAGAGAAAAGGAGAGAGAGUGGGUAACACGAGGAGAGACCGAGGAAACCUGUACUUACGCCGCUGCCUGUGGAGAAAGAGAAAGCGAGUGAGCACCCAAGGAACGAACUGUGUGAACCAGUACUUACUGUGAGCUGCAAUCAGCGAAGAGGUGAAAGCCAUCCAAAGCAGAGUAACUGUGUUUUGUGUCCAAGUUGAUACCUGUAGAGAGGAGGAGAGAGAGUGGAUAACGCGAGGAGAAAUAGAGCGAAACCUGUACUUACAGUACGCUGUGUCCAGCCCAGAGGUGAGAGCCAUUCAAAGCAAACUAACUGUGCUAUUGUGCCCAAGUUGAUACCUGUGGAGAGAAAAGGAGAGAGAGUGGGUAACACGAGGAGAGACCGAGGAAACCUGUACUUACGCCGCUGCCUGUGGAGAAAGAGAAAGCGAGUGAGCACCCAAGGAACGAACUGUGUGAACCAGUACUUACUGUGAGCUGCAAUCAGCGAAGAGGUGAGAGCAAAACCAAGCCGAAUUAACUGUGCCUUUGUGUCCCAGCCGUUGCCUGUGGAGGAAGAGAAAGAGAGUGAGCACCCCGAGAACGAACUGUGUGAACCAGUACUUACCGUGAGUUGUAUUCAGCGAAGAGGAGGAAGAAGGAGGGCGCUACGGACACCUAAGACCCUGGCCGGGCCCCGAGUCCCACGCCCCGGAUCCCCGUGGCCCCCUUGCUCCCUGACCUCUUCCCGGCCAUAGCCCAUCUGGAGGGCCGAGUCAGAGUUUAGUUUUAAUUGCCCUUUCCCUAUUCCCCAAGCUAUUUUUAAAUAUUUAAAUAAAGAUUGUUUUAUCACUUA